CUUGGCGACCAUAGCGCUUUGGACCCACCUGACUCCAUGCCGAACUCAGUAGUGAAACGAAGCAGCGCCGAUGGUAGUGUGGGGUCUCCCCAUGUGAGAGUAGGACAUCGCCAGGC
rfam:Salinivibrio sp. KP-1 scf7180000001585, whole genome shotgun sequence.